AUGGUCGCCCUUGGCGUUGCUCUGUGCAGGUCUAGGUAUCCCGAGGGGACUCGCUCAUCAUCCCGUGGAUUCGAGAGGCCGGUCAUCCAGGACGUCCGCGCACGACCCAAUUUCGUGGAGAGCACCUCCGGAAGAAGGGGUCUCCAGAUGGUAGGAUGGGCUCUGCUACAUGUAAAUGGUUCUGGCAUUUCCCAUCAGUCUCCUCCCUGCCGUCAUCGUCCUUCCUGCUGCCAGCUCCGCCCUUCUCCGCCUUGUCUCCACGGCAACGAUUCUGCUCCAUCCAUCGAGGUGGAGGCUGGCCUGUAG
rnacentral:rRNA from 1 species